AACGUAGGUUCCGAGCGUUAUCCGGAUUUACUGGGCGUAAAGCGCGUUCAGGCGGUUUGGCAAGUCGGGCAUGAAAUCUCUCGGCUCAGCCGGGAGAGGUUGUCCGAUACUGCUGGACUUGAGGGCAGUAGAGGGUGGUGGAAUUCCGGGUGUAGUGGUGAAAUGCGUAGAUAUCCGGAGGAACACCAGUGGCGAAAGCGGCCACCUGGACUGCACCUGACGCUGACACGCGAAAGCUAGGGGAGCGAACGGG
rnacentral:rRNA from 1 species